UUUAGUACCUGCAAUAAAACCUAACAAUGAAAUCAGAGGAAGUCCAUCUAAGCUCUUCUGAAAAACCUCCACACACUCCUCCUUCAGCUGACUUGCAGCUUUUUAUGGAUGUCAAGCCAGAAGCUUCUAAAACUUUAGGUGGUGGGACACCAUACAAGCUAAAACAUCAGGGUGUGGACCAUCGGCAAGACAUAAAACAGGAAGAAUCUGAAGAUGAAUACUAUGGCUGUGGUGAAACAUCAAGGUCUGUGGACCACCAGAAACUUGGAAAAAAGGAAGAA